rnacentral:rRNA from 1 species
CCUGCCCUACAGACUGGGAUAACUCCGGGAAACCGGAGCUAAUACCGGGUAAUACAUAGCAUCGCAUGAUGCAACGUUGAAAGUUGGCCUUUGGCUAACACUGUAGGAUGGGCCCGCGGCGCAUUAGCUAGUUGGUAAGGUAACGGCUUACCAAGGCCACGAUGCGUAGCCGACCUGAGAGGGUGAUCGGCCACACUGGGACUGAGACACGGCCCAGACUCCUACGGGAGGCAGCAGUAGGGAAUCUUCCGCAAUGGACGAAAGUCUGACGGAGCAACGCCGCGUGAGUGACGAAGGCCUUCGGGUCGUAAAGCUCUGUUGUUAGGGAAGAACAAGUACCGUUCGAAUAGGGCGGUACCUUGACGGUACCUAACCAGAAAGCCACGGCUAACUACGUGCCAGCAGCCGCGGUAAUACGUAGGUGGCAAGCGUUGUCCGGAAUUAUUGGGCGUAAAGCGCGCGCAGGCGGUCUCUUAAGUCUGAUGUGAAAGCCCACGGCUCAACCGUGGAGGGCCAUUGGAAACUGGGGGACUUGAGUGCAGAAGAGGAGAGUGGAAUUCCACGUGUAGCGGUGAAAUGCGUAGAUAUGUGGAGGAACACCAGUGGCGAAGGCGGCUCUCUGGUCUGUAACUGACGCUGAGGCGCGAAAGCGUGGGGAGCGAACAGGAUUAGAUACCCUGGUAGUCCACGCCGUAAACGAUGAGUGCUAGGUGUUGGGGG